rnacentral:rRNA from 1 species
CUAAUACAUGCAAGUAGAACGCUGAAGGGGGAGCUUGCUUCUCCNGGAUGAGUUGCGAACGGGUGAGUAACGCGUAGGUAACCUGCCUGGUAGCGGGGGAUAACUAUUGGAAACGAUAGCUAAUACCGCAUAAGAGUAGAUGUUGCAUGACAUUUGCUUAAAAGGUGCAAUUGCAUCACUACCAGAUGGACCUGCGUUGUAUUAGCUAGUUGGUGGGGUAACGGCUCACCAAGGCGACGAUACAUAGCCGACCUGAGAGGGUGAUCGGCCACACUGGGACUGAGACACGGCCCAGACUCCUACGGGGGGCAGCAGUAGGGAAUCUUCGGCAAUGGACGGAAGUCUGACCGAGCAACGCCGCGUGAGUGAAGAAGGUUUUCGGAUCGUAAAGCUCUGUUGUAAGAAAAGAACGAGUGUGAGAGUGGAAAGUUCACACUGUGACGGUAUCUUACCAGAAAGGGACGGCUAACUACGUGCCAGCAGCCGCGGUAAUACGUAGGUCCCGAGCGUUGUCCGGAUUUAUUGGGCGUAAAGCGAGCGCAGGCGGUUAGAUAAGUCUGAAGUUAAAGGCUGUGGCUUAACCAUAGUACGCUUUGGAAACUGUUUAACUUGAGUGCAAGAGGGGAGAGUGGAAUUCCAUGUGUAGCGGUGAAAUGCGUAGAUACAUGGAGGAACACCGGUGGCGAAAGCGGCUCUCUGGCUUGUAACUGACGCUGAG